GUCCUCUUGUUUAUAUAUGAGGUCAGACCUGCCCGGUGAAUUUUAUUUUAACGGCCGCGGUAUUUUGACCGUGCAAAGGUAGCAUAAUCAUUAGUCUUUUAAUAGGAGGCUGGAAUGAAGGGUUUGACGAGGUGUUGACUGUCUCAUUUAAUUUGAAAUUAAAAUUUAACUUUUCAGUUAAAAGGCUGAAAUUAUAUUGGAAGACGAGAAGACCCUAUAGAGCUUUAUAGCUAUAGUUUUAAUUAACUAUUGUUUAAUCAUUAUUUUUUAUAAUUAUAUCUAUUUUGUUGGGGUGACAAAAAUAUAAAAGUAACUUUUUUAUUUAGUGUUCAUUGAUUUAUGAACUUUAGAUCCAAUUUUAUUGAUUGUUAGAAUAAGUUACCUUAGGGAUAACAGCGUAAUCUUCCUUCAGAGUUCAUAUUUACAGGAAGGAUUGCGACCUCGAUGUUGGAUUAAGAUAAUAAUUAGGUGUAGCCGCUUAAUUUAUAGGUCUGUUCGACCUUUAAAUUCUU
rnacentral:rRNA from 1 species